UCUACUCAGGAAAUGCAAUUCGCUUGGAGUUUCUUGUAAAUCUAAACCUGUUAUGCAAAGUGUGAUGAGAAGUUCCAGAUAAUUCCAUGUGACUGUUCAUCUCUGAUUUGUCUUCCUUACAACCUGACCUAUUUCUGGAAUAUCAGAAUGAAGGUGUUAUGUAACUAAUGGCUUCUGUUAGCAUCUACACAUCACUCUUUAAUCUUCCUCACUGAAACUGUGGUACAGUGAUGUAUUUUGUCAUGUGCUGUAACUGGGUAACGCAUCUUAAUAAUAAUGCUGAAAGCAUCUCUUCUUUCUGAAAUGAUAAACAAUUUGACAGUUGGUGGUAUUCAUGCUCCUGCCUUUAAAAACAACAUCCUCUACCACCACCUCCCUAAAAAAAGAA